rnacentral:rRNA from 1 species
UACGAAGGGGGCUAGCGAUGUUCGGAAUUACUGGGCGUAAAGCGCACGUAGGCGGAUUUGUAAGUCAGGGGUGAAAUCCCGGGGCUCAACCUCGGAACUGCCUUUGAUACUGCAAGUCUUGAGACCGGAAGAGGUGAGUGGAAUUCCUAGUGUAGAGGUGAAAUUCGUAGAGAUUAGGAAGAACACCAGUGGCGAAGGCGGCUCACUGGUCCGGUUCUGACGAUGAGGUGCGAAAGAGUGGGGAGCAAACAGG